CCGGCGAUGUCCGAAUGGGGAAACCCAGUGCAAUUCGUUGCACUAUCGUUAACUGAAUACAUAGGUUAACGAGGCGAACCGGGGGAACUGAAACAUCUAAGUACCCCGAGGAAAAGAAAUCAACCGAGAUUCCCCCAGUAGCGGCGAGCGAACGGGGAGCAGCCCAGAGUCUGAAUCAGCUUGUGUGUUAGUGGAACGGUCUGGAAAGUCCGACGGUACAGGGUGAUAGUCCCGUACACCAAAAUGCACAGGCUGUGAACUCGAAGAGUAGGGCGGGACACGUGGUAUCCUGUCUGAAUAUGGGGGGACCAUCCUCCAAGGCUAAAUACUCCUGACUGACCGAUAGUGAACCAGUACCGUGAGGGAAAGGCGAAAAGAACCCCGGCGAGGGGAGUGAAAAAGAACCUGAAACCGUGUACGUACAAGCAGUGGGAGCACCUUCGGGUGUGACUGCGUACCUUUUGUAUAAUGGGUCAGCGACUUAUAUUCUGUAGCAAGGUUAACCGUAUAGGGGAGCCGCAGGGAAACCGAGUCUUAACUGGGCGUUAAGUUGCAGGGUAUAGACCCGAAACCCGGUGAUCUAGCCAUGGGCAGGUUGAAGGUUGGGUAACACUAACUGGAGGACCGAACCGACUAAUGUUGAAAAAUUAGCGGAUGACUUGUGGCUGGGGGUGAAAGGCCAAUCAAACCGGGAGAUAGCUGGUUCUCCCCGAAAGCUAUUUAGGUAGCGCCUCGUGAAUUCAUCUUCGGGGGUAGAGCACUGUUUCGGCUAGGGGGUCAUCCCGACUUACCAACCCGAUGCAAACUACGAAUACCGAAGAAUGUUAUCACGGGAGACACACGGCGGGUGCUAACGUCCGUCGUGAAGAGGGAAACAACCCAGACCGCCAGCUAAGGUCCCAAAGUCAUGGUUAAGUGGGAAACGAUGUGGGAAGGCACAGACAGCCAGGAUGUUGGCUUAGAAGCAGCCAUCAUUUAAAGAAAGCGUAAUAGCUCACUGGUCGAGUCGGCCUGCGCGGAAGAUGUAACGGGGCUAAACCAUGCACCGAAGCUGCGGCAGCGACACUAUGUGUUGUUGGGUAGGGGAGCGUUCUGUAAGCCUGCGAAGGUGACCUGUGAGGGUUGCUGGAGGUAUCAGAAGUGCGAAUGCUGACAUAAGUAACGAUAAAGCGGGUGAAAAGCCCGCUCGCCGGAAGACCAAGGGUUCCUGUCCAACGUUAAUCGGGGCAGGGUGAGUCGACCCCUAAGGCGAGGCCGAAAGGCGUAGUCGAUGGGAAACAGGUUAAUAUUCCUGUACUUGGUGUUACUGCGAAGGGGGGACGGAGAAGGCUAUGUUAGCCGGGCGACGGUUGUCCCGGUUUAAGCAUGUAGGCUGGUUGUCCAGGCAAAUCCGGAUAAUCAAGGCUGAGGUGUGAUGACGAGGCACUACGGUGCUGAAGUAACAAAUGCCCUGCUUCCAGGAAAAGCCUCUAAGCAUCAGGUAACAUUAAAUCGUACCCCAAACCGACACAGGUGGUCAGGUAGAGAAUACCAAGGCGCUUGAGAGAACUCGGGUGAAGGAACUAGGCAAAAUGGUGCCGUAACUUCGGGAGAAGGCACGCUGGUGUGUAGGUGAAGUCCCUGCGGAUGGAGCUGAGACCAGUCGAAGAUACCAGCUGGCUGCAACUGUUUAUUAAAAACACAGCACUGUGCAAACACGAAAGUGGACGUAUACGGUGUGACGCCUGCCCGGUGCCGGAAGGUUAAUUGAUGGGGUUAUCCGUAAGGAGAAGCUCUUGAUCGAAGCCCCGGUAAACGGCGGCCGUAACUAUAACGGUCCUAAGGUAGCGAAAUUCCUUGUCGGGUAAGUUCCGACCUGCACGAAUGGCGUAAUGAUGGCCAGGCUGUCUCCACCCGAGACUCAGUGAAAUUGAACUCGCUGUGAAGAUGCAGUGUACCCGCGGCAAGACGGAAAGACCCCGUGAACCUUUACUAUAGCUUGACACUGAACAUUGAGCCUUGAUGUGUAGGAUAGGUGGGAGGCUUUGAAGCGUGGACGCCAGUCUGCGUGGAGCCAACCUUGAAAUACCACCCUUUAAUGUUUGAUGUUCUAACGUUGGCCCCUUACCGGGGUUGCGGACAGUGUCUGGUGGGUAGUUUGACUGGGGCGGUCUCCUCCCAAAGCGUAACGGAGGAGCACGAAGGUUAGCUAAUCCUGGUCGGACAUCAGGAGGUUAGUGCAAUGGCAUAAGCUAGCUUGACUGCGAGCGUGACGGCGCGAGCAGGUGCGAAAGCAGGUCAUAGUGAUCCGGUGGUUCUGAAUGGAAGGGCCAUCGCUCAACGGAUAAAAGGUACUCCGGGGAUAACAGGCUGAUACCGCCCAAGAGUUCAUAUCGACGGCGGUGUUUGGCACCUCGAUGUCGGCUCAUCACAUCCUGGGGCUGAAGUAGGUCCCAAGGGUAUGGCUGUUCGCCAUUUAAAGUGGUACGCGAGCUGGGUUUAGAACGUCGUGAGACAGUUCGGUCCCUAUCUGCCGUGGGCGCUGGAGAAUUGAGGGGGGCUGCUCCUAGUACGAGAGGACCGGAGUGGACGCAUCACUGGUGUUCGGGUUGUCAUGCCAAUGGCACUGCCCGGUAGCUAAAUGCGGAAGAGAUAAGUGCUGAAAGCAUCUAAGCACGAAACUUGCCCCGAGAUGAGUUCUCCCUGAGACUUUAAGUCUCCUGAAGGAACGUUAAAGACGAUGACGUUGAUAGGCCGGGUGUGUAAGCGCAGCGAUGCGUUGAGCUAACCGGUACUAAUGAACCGUGAGGCUUAACCUU
rnacentral:rRNA from 1 species